AUGUUGGGCAGAGACUGUGAGCCUCCCAGGGCCAGGGCUACGAAAUCAUGUCUAAUGGUGAAUUUACCCGGCAAGAAAUGCAGUGCCUUUUGGAGAAUGGGCUGAGUUAUCAAGUACUGUGUGUGCCCCACAGGGGCCAGUAGAAUGGAAGUCCUAUGAGGGCAGGAAGUAUUUUUGCUCAUUGGUUGCCAAUUACUUGGGGCAGUGAAAACUGAAAUCAUGCAUCCAUGCUAGGCAUUAGUGUAACUAUUUCUUUAUCUCAUAGUUGUGCUUUUUUUUUGACAUGUACAGUGACUAUUCCUUUAAUCUCAUAGUUGUUUUGGGGUUUUUAAAUCUUAAUGUAUGCAGAGUGCUUUUUUCCCCCCUAUAAAAUUGUAAGCCACUGAAAGGCAGAUGCUCUAUAUUGUACAUUGACAAAAUGCUUAAUAGUGCCUUAUUGAGGUUGUGCAGUAAGGUUGAUAACUUAACCCAUCAUAAUUUUUCCUGAAUCUCUACCCUCUUGAUCAAACCCAGGGUAUGUGAGGGGUCAUGCUCCUCAAGCCCUAUUCCUCACUUCCUCCACUUUACAGCCAGGUUGGGUCCAAGGUUGGCCAAAAUAGGGAAGUCUGUGCCCAUUGCCAGGUAAGGAAUAUGUGGGGGCACAACUAGUUGUGGAGACAAGAAGUCACACCUCUUCCCUGCCUUCAUGGAGGCCUCCCAGGGACACCACAGUGUGUGGAGAAUCCUGCUUUAAGGUGAGAAAGGUCGGAGGGAGUUUGGGUGGCCAAACUGGACUUCUUUCUCUUCUUACCUACCUUGUAAACAUUCAGUUUUCCCUUGUCUCUCUCUUGCUCUCCUGUGUAGACCUUCAAAUUUGUACAACUUUCUGUUCUACCUAUUCUUCUUCCUGUCUCCACUUCUUGUAAAUAACUGGUCUAUUUCUCUCUCUCACCUUCCACAAUAGACUUCAACUUCAUGCAAGACUGUGGUCGUGCCUGCUUUCUGCUGUUGCGGCUCUGGCAUCCAGUACAGUGCUUCACAUACAGAAGAUAGCCAAAUGGACACGCAAGGAAAGGAUCCCCAGAUCAGCAGUCAGCAGCCCAGUGGACCUUCCCAGAAUGGAUGCUACUCUCCUUCCAUGCCCAGAGGAGAAAUUUGGCCAUGACAGCAAGCUUAAUGGGAGGCUGCAGAGAGCCACACAUCAGGGAGAAGACACGGACCACUCAUCGGCAGUUCUCCAAGACCAUUAGGACUGCGCCUCACCCACUGUGGACCCUGCCCCUAACAAACUCCAUGCUGCUGCCCAGUAUGGAACAUUUCCCAUGCCCACCACUACCCCAACAAUGCUGUUGCCUCUGGCUUCAAAUAUUUUCAAAUUUGGACUACUUGCGUCUUGACUAGUUCCUCCAGAAAGUGAUUGGUGCAGGGUGUUGGUGUAUUGUUUGUGUCUGUCACUAGCUGAGGGGGUGAAGAGCAAGGGGGAGGAGCGUGAGGCAGGGGCUGCCGCUCUUUCAGCGGGGAGAUGGGGUUUGGAAACAGGGACCAGGACUGUGAGUAGGAUCUGCUUCUGCCUUGGCCGAGGGAGCAGGCAAGGCCUGGGGCCCUUUUAAUUCUAGACGGGCCGAACCUCCCCUCGGCCUGGUCUCUGAAGCUCCCUACCCAUUCAUGGCCCCUGGAGUACCAACCCUCCCGGCUUGACAGAGUUGGGUGUCCCAGGGAAGGGGAAUCGAGUAUAAGGAAGGGGAGAGUGAGCUAUCACUGUGUGAACAAAAUCCUUCCUGGAGGAACCAAAUGAUUUCAAGAGAAUCUGGUGGCUAGCCCCAGAUGAAGCAUAAGGCUAUGGCAUAUAUUUCUCAAAGACAACAGCAUUGUCAGCCCCUUUCUUCCCCUCCCAAAUUGUGAUCCCCAUUUUCCCCCCUGAAAUCUGUAUCUCUGCCCUGCUGAAGAAAUAUGCAUUGUACAUUCCA